GGAAAGAACAUAGCUCAUUGGCAGAGCAUCUGCUUUGAAUGUAGAAGGUCCCAAUUUCAAUCCCUAGCAUCUCCA